UUGGUAUGCAAUUCCUGUACUGUUACACUGAGGCCCAAUGCAAGCUUAAAAAACCUCUCAUCUUCAGUCUGGGUACAUUGUUGCCUUCAGGACCCAGUACUGAACCUCAGGUGACUACAUUUCUAUAUCUGCAUCAGUCAACCAGCUAUGAUAUUGGCCCAGCUUUUUUUUGUUCUUUAACCAACCCUCCCUCCAUUUACUUUUUUCUUUCUUUGGAAGUGAAGGACAUGACCACCUUUAACUACUGGGCAUGUCUUCCUGUUCUGCAUUGUACAACUGGAUUUUAUUGUCCAGUCUAGAACCACAUGAAGGUUAUCAAUGUGGUCUGUCAAUUUCCCUUCAAUAAUGUUGCCUGACCUACUGAAUUCCUGUGUUACACCUUGUGGAGCUCCAGAUUCCAGCAUCUGCAGUCUCCAUUCUCCAUUCUAUGCUUUCACUAUCAAACUAUUCCCAUUUACUCAUUGACCAGAUAACAAUGUUUGCAGCUUAUCCCCAUGGUUACUGAGGUCUCACUCUACAAGAGACAUCCCACUCUCCCAUCAUCCCUGCAGCCUAAUGAUCUGCAUUUGGCUCUUUCCCAGUUCUGACGAGGAGUCUUUAACCACAUUAACUUUGAGUUUCUUUCCACACAUGCAGCCUGAACUGAUGAAUAUUCAUUAAGAUUUCAUCUCCAGGAAAUUAUUGUGAAUUUCGAUUUCAUUCUGAAGCAUGGUUUCAUGCCAACCUUCAAGCUUCCAGAAAGCCAAGAAUCAAAGAAAAAUGAUGUCUGAAUACCUACCAUCUUCUUCACUUGAAGUCUUUGGACACCCAAGGGGCAGAUGCUGCUUCCCCACUGCUGGUUCCUCGAGCAGAUCGAUUGGUGCUCCAGAUUCUGGCAUUGGCAGUCUCAUGUAUCAAAUACACUACCACCCAUUGACUUUGUUACCUGCUUAAACAAUAAUUCAAGAUGCCAUAUACUGCCUACUCAUCCAACUUGCCGAAACUGACUUGAAGUCUCCAGUCCUCCUCUCAUCAGAUCGAACAACAGCAAUAUUAUCAGCAUCACGUAAACUCCAGCAAUUUAGCAAGAGAUUCAGCUUCAUCUCAGGGUCAACUGUGACAGGACAAUUACUGUCAGUGAUCAGAUAUUGUAGCGUAGGCCUCUGUUAGUCUUGAUAGACCAUGGAUUUGCACCUCGGAAAGUUUCCAGGGCGCAAGCCUGGGCAAGGUUUUGUUUUUAAAUGGAAGACCGGCAGUUGCCCAAGCGGCAAGUCACACCACCAAAGUUGUCCAAGGGAAGGGUCAGAUAUUGUACUAAUAACUGAAAAAUAGACGCCCACAGAUAGACAGACGCAAGUGAAGCUCCUCACCUGUAAAUAUUUUGCUCUCAUGGAACAACAGCUUAUAAUGUUACAGCUAAACUUAAAGCCAGAUGACUAAAGAAGCAACCAAAACAGUUGGAUCUAGAAC